CCCACCGCAGAGACGAAUUUCUCAAUCUGCUGCUAUGUUUUACUUUGGAUUGCAGUAGAAUUGCAAAUCUGUUAAAAAAAUCUAUGUGAAUCACGUUGGCUGCACAUAUAUCUAGAGAUUGCCCGAACUUUGUGAAAAAAUUGCGAAAAUUAACCAAUGCUUAAGCUCCACAGAAAGUUGAACGCUGAAAGAUGUCAAUGCAUAUUUUGUGAUAACAUUGUAGAGCUACUAGGGAUUUAACAUGACGCAACCAAUUCAGUCUAAGCAUAUGUAAUUAUAUAGUUGAUGCAAGAAAUCUGAUUUGUUACCAUACUUUUAAUUCCAUGCAUGAUCUGGUUUACAAAUGAGAUUAAGUUGCCAUUGUGUGCUUCAGAUCAGUAUGUUACUAGAAACAUUAUCUUUUGUUGAAGAUGAGGGUGUUGGAUGGGGCUGCCGCAUGCCAGCAGCCAGUACAUGCUGACGGCGAGGCGAGGCAGCACGCGACUUUCCUCCGCUCCAUCUCCUUCACUGGAUCUGUCCACCAGCCCCCUACCUGGCUCCGCGCCAUCUGGGCAUUGCACAACCUAUUGACGUGGCUGUAAACGUGGCUGCAGACCAGACUGCAUCCUCGUGGCUGUUGGAUGCUGGCUAGGGGGCACUCUCCUUGCUCGGCUGUGAAGCAGCCGGACAUGGACGCUGCUGUGGGAAACCUCCACUCGUCGGAUCUGGAGGCUGGGUGCUACCCAUCCAAGGCUUGCGUGAGGUUGAGCUGUAUCCCCACAAGAUCGACAAUGGCGACCUUGCUGCUGCUGUCCAGGACCUCGUCGAUAUCUCCAGCCAAAGGUGCAGCACAUAGACAACGGUGACCAUGUCGGAGUUCUGGAGCCUCUUCACUUACAUCUUCAGUGCCACCGACAUAUACUUUGCUGUUGCAAUUGUCUGAACUCCACAGAGCAGGUAUGCUUGAGAAUAUACACACUAUCUGCUAUAAUGCGAUUGGUGAUCCUUCAGUAAAGGUGCAGCACAUAGACAACGCCGACCAUGUUGGAGUUCCGGAGCCUCUUCACUUACAACAUAUGCUUUGCUGUUGCAACUGUAUGAACUGCACAUAAGCAGGUUCCGCUCUGUCUGGUGCAGAUCAUGAUUUCUAGUUCAUACUAAGCUGCCUUUUACCACCUGUGCCUACAGGUUCCGCUCUGUCUGGUGCAGUGGACGGUGACGCGUCUUCGCCUGGUCCACCUACGACUGGCUAGCUAUGUGGACGGAGAUGUGGAGCUGGCCCGGAGGCAGCAGUGGCCUUGCUCUACCUUUUGGUGGUGGUAUACAGGUUGUUCUGCUCCGGCUUUGCACGGCUCUGACGCUGGCUGGACAUGCGGUGCGUGUCUGCAGGCCUCGUCGCUUAGCUUACCGGAGGAUAUACGGCGUGGCUUGGCUCCGGUGCCAUUGCCGCCGCCGCUGCUGAAGUUUAAUGUUUGGAGCAGUGUUGUAAAAUUGGGUGGAGUUGGCUUCUUUUGCACCACAUGUGUCAUCACAUGUGUUUGAGUAAGCAGUGCUGUAGUCGAAUCGUAUUUGUCUCUAGCUGCUAGAGACAUUAUUUUUUUCGAUCUGCUGUGUGUUGUAAAUGGGGAAAAAAUAGAGAAGCCUGUAACCAUUUCGUAAACUCUCCCUUGGUUUGGAAAUAAGUGAGUUGUAAUUGUCUACCAUUUCGUAAAUCCCUUAUUUG